rnacentral:rRNA from 1 species
AUUCCAGCUCCAAUAGCGUAUAUUAAAGUUGUUGCGGUUAAAAAGCUCGUAGUUGGAUCUCGGCGGGCAGGGGGUGGUUCGCUCUUCAGCGGUACUGCCCCGCUUUGCCCCUGUGAUUGGCGGAGGUUUCGGGGUGCUCUUCGUUGAGUGACUCGGAGCGCCGUCAGGUUUACUUUGAAAAAAUUAGAGUGCUCAAAGCAGGCUUUUCACGCUUGAAUAUUCGUGCAUGGAAUAAUGGAAUAGGAACUCGUUUCUAUUUUGUUGGUUUUCGGAAAUCGAGUUAAUGAUUAACAGGGACAAUUGGGGGCAUUAGUAUUCAGACGACAGAGGUGAAAUUCUUGGACCGUCUGAAGACUGACUACUGCGAAAGCAUUUGCCAAGAGUGUUUUCAUUA